rnacentral:rRNA from 1 species
AUUUUAUUUAUUAGGUUUUGUUUUUGUUAUUUUAAAUUAUUAAAAAUAAUUGUUAAAUUAAUUGUUUUAGUAUUUUUUAAAGAAAAAAUAUUAUUAAUUAGAGUAUAUUGGUAUUGUGAAAGGUUAUUGAAAUAUAUUGAAAAAUUUUUGUUUUGAAAGAAGAUUUUGUUUAUUGUACCUUGUGUAUCAGGGUUUAUUAAUUAAAUAUUAGAGAGUUUAAUUUUCUCGAUUCCGUAAGAUUUAAUGUUCUAUUUAAGUUAGCGUGGUAAAGUUAUUUAUAAUAGAUUAUUAGAAAUGAAAUGUUAUUCGUUUUCGGAGUUAUCUAGUUUUUUAAGAAAUAAAUUGAAUUUAGGAUUAUUUUAUUAUUAAGUUGUUUCUUUAACUUGGUGGUUAAUUUAAUCUAAUACUUUAUGGGAUAAGCUAUGAAGUAUAUUGUUAAAAAUUGUUAUUGUUUGUAAAAGAUGUAGGCUUAGAAAUAGCUAUCAUUUGGGAGGAUGUUAUAAUUUAUUUUGCUAUUGUAAUAUUUAAUUAGGUUUUAAUUGUUUAUUAAAAUAUUUAUAGUAAUAGGAAUUGUUAAGUAAUAAUGAUAAAAUUAGUAUAUAAAAAUGUAUAAAUGAGUGGUGAUGAUAAGUUUUUGUAAGGAAUUCGGCAAAAUUAAGUGUCCGCCUGUUUAACAAAAACAUGUCCUUUUGAUUGAAUAUAAGGUCUAGCCUGCCCACUGAUAAUUAAAUGGCCGCAGUAUUUUAACUGUGCAAAGGUAGCAUAAUCAUUAGUCUUUUAAUUGGAGGCUGGUAUGAAUGGUUGGACGAGACACUGACUGUUUCAUGUGAAAUUGAAUUAGAAUUUUAUUUUUUAGUAAAAAAGCUGAAAUGUAUUUUAAAGACGAGAAGACCCUAUAAAUCUUUAUAGUUAGUUUAUUAUAGUUUUGUAGAUUUAUUAUGUUGUAAUAAUUGGUACUAUUUUGUUGGGGUGAUGUUAAAAUUUAUUAAACUUUUAAAUUUUGUUACAUUAAUUAAUGAUUGAAUGAUCCGUUAAUAACGAUUAUAAAAUUAAGUUACUUUAGGGAUAACAGCGUAAUUUUUUUGGAGAGUUCUUAUCGAUAAAAGGGAUUGCGACCUCGAUGUUGGAUUAAGAGAUAGGUUUAGGUGUAGCAGUUUAAAUUUUAAGUCUGUUCGACUUUUAAAUUCUUACAUGAUCUGAGUUCAAACCGGCGUGAGCCAGGUUGGUUUCUAUCUUUAAUAAGUUAGGAUAUUUUAGUACGAAAGGACCAAAUAUUUAAUAUAUUAAUAUUUUUAUUGAGAAUAUAAUUAAUUUA